AGUGAACGCUGGCGGUAGGCCUAACACAUGCAAGUCGAACGGCAGCACAGUAAGAGCUUGCUCUUACGGGUGGCGAGUGGCGGACGGGUGAGGAAUACAUCGGAAUCUACUUUUUCGUGGAUGAUAACGUAGGGAAACUUACGCUACUACCUCAUACGACCUACGGGUGAAAGCAGGGGAUCUUCGGACCUUUCGCGAUUGAAUGAGCCGAUGUCGGAUUAGCUAGUUGGCGGGGUAAAGGCCCACCAAGGCGACGAUCCGUAGCUGGUCUGAGAGGAUGAUCAGCCACACUGGAACUGAGACACGGUCCAGACUCCUACGGGAGGCAGCAGUAGGGAAUAUUGGACAAUGGGCGCAAGCCUGAUCCAGCCAUACCGCGUGAGUGAAGAAGGCCUUCGGGUUGUAAAGCCCUUUUGUUGGGAAAGAAAAGCAGCAGGUUAAUACCCCGAUGUUCUGACGGUACCCAAAGAAUAAGCACCGGCUAACUUCGUG
rnacentral:rRNA from 1 species